rnacentral:rRNA from 1 species
UUAAGUUAAUAAGGGCGCACGGUGGAUGCCUUGGCACUAGGAGCCGACGAAGGACGUGACAAACGACGAUAUGCCUUGGGUAGCUGUAAGUAAGCGAUGAUCCAGGGAUUUCCGAAUGGGGGAACCCAACAGGUAAUACCUGUUACCUACAUCUGUUAAGGAUGUGAGGAGGAAGACGCAGUGAACUGAAACAUCUAAGUAGCUGCAGGAAGAGAAAGCAAAAGCGAUUGCCUUAGUAGCGGCGAGCGAAACGGCAGAAGGGCAAACCGAAGAGUUUACUCUUCGGGGUUGUAGGACUGCAAUGUGGACUCAAAGAUUAUAGAAGAAUGAUUUGGGAAGAUCAGCCAAAGAGAGUAAUAGCCUCGUAUUUAAAAUAGUCUUUGUACUUAGCAGUAUCCUGAGUACGGCGGGACACGUGAAAUCCCGUCGGAAUCUGGGAGGACCAUCUCCCAACCCUAAAUACUCCCUAGUGACCGAUAGUGAACCAGUACCGUGAGGGAAAGGUGAAAAGCACCCCGGGAGGGGAGUGAAAUAGAACCUGAAACCGUGUGCCUACAACAAGUUCGAGCCCGUUAAUGGGUGAGAGCGUGCCUUUUGUAGAAUGAACCGGCGAGUUACGUUAUGAUGCGAGGUUAAGUUGAAGAGACGGAGCCGUAGGGAAACCGAGUCUGAAUAGGGCGCCUUAGUAUCAUGACGUAGACCCGAAACCAUGUGACCUACCCAUGAGCAGGUUGAAGGUGCGGUAAGACGCACUGGAGGACCGAACCAGGGCACGUUGAAAAGUGCUUGGAUGACUUGUGGGUAGCGGAGAAAUUCCAAACGAACUUGGAGAUAGCUGGUUCUCUCCGAAAUAGCUUUAGGGCUAGCGUCGACAUUAGAGAUUCUUGGAGGUAGAGCACUGUUUGGGUGAGGGGUCCAUCCCGGAUUACCAAUCUCAGAUAAACUCCGAAUGCCAAUGAAUUAUGGUCGGCAGUCAGACUGCGAGUGCUAAGAUCCGUAGUCGAAAGGGAAACAGCCCAGACCACCAGCUAAGGUCCCAAAAUAAUUGUUAAGUGGAAAAGGAUGUGGGGUUGCACAGACAACUAGGAUGUUAGCUUAGAAGCAGCUAUUCAUUCAAAGAGUGCGUAAUAGCUCACUAGUCGAGUGACCCUGCGCCGAAAAUGUACCGGGGCUAAAACAAUUUACCGAAGCUGUGGAUACCUUUAUAGGUAUGGUAGGAGAGCGUUCUAUGUGUGAUGAAGGUAUACCGUGAGGAGUGCUGGAACGCAUAGAAGUGAGAAUGCCGGUAUGAGUAGCGAAAGACAGGUGAGAAUCCUGUCCACCGUAAGACUAAGGUUUCCAGGGGAAGGCUCGUCCGCCCUGGGUUAGUCGGGACCUAAGGAGAGACCGAAAGGUGUAUCCGAUGGACAACAGGUUGAUAUUCCUGUACUAGAGUAUGUAGUGAUGGAGGGACGCAGUAGGCUAACUAAAGCAGACGAUUGGAAGAGUCUGUCUAAGCAGUGAGGUGUGAAUUGAGUCAAAUGCUUAAUUCUAUAACAUUGAGCUGUGAUGGGGAGCGAAGUUUAGUAGCGAAGUUAGUGACGUCACACUGCCAAGAAAAGCUUCUAGCGUUUAAACAUACUCUACCCGUACCGCAAACCGACACAGGUAGUCGAGGCGAGUAGCCUCAGGUGAGCGAGAGAACUCUCGUUAAGGAACUCGGCAAAAUGACCCCGUAACUUCGGGAGAAGGGGUGCUGACUUAAAGUCAGCCGCAGUGAAUAGGCCCAAGCAACUGUUUAUCAAAAACACAGCUCUCUGCUAAAUCGUAAGAUGAUGUAUAGGGGGUGACGCCUGCCCGGUGCUGGAAGGUUAAGAGGAGUGCUUAGCGUAAGCGAAGGUAUGAAUUGAAGCCCCAGUAAACGGCGGCCGUAACUAUAACGGUCCUAAGGUAGCGAAAUUCCUUGUCGGGUAAGUUCCGACCCGCACGAAAGGCGUAAUGAUUUGGGCACUGUCUCAACGAGAGACUCGGUGAAAUUUUAGUACCUGUGAAGAUGCAGGUUACCCGCGACAGGACGGAAAGACCCCAUGGAGCUUUACUGCAGUUUGAUAUUGAGUGUCUGUACCACAUGUACAGGAUAGGUAGGAGUCUAAGAGAUCGGGACGCCAGUUUCGAAGGAGACGCUGUUGGGAUACUACCCUUGUGUUAUGGCCACUCUAACCCAGAUAGGUGAUCCCUAUCGGAGACAGUGUCUGACGGGCAGUUUGACUCGGGCGGUCGCCUCCUAAAAGGUAACGGAGGCGCCCAAAGGUUCCCUCAGAAUGGUUGGAAAUCAUUCGCAGAGUGUAAAGGUAUAAGGGAGCUUGACUGCGAGAGCUACAACUCGAGCAGGGACGAAAGUCGGGCUUAGUGAUCCGGUGGUUCCGUAUGGAAGGGCCAUCGCUCAACGGAUAAAAGCUACCCUGGGGAUAACAGGCUUAUCUCCCCCAAGAGUUCACAUCGACGGGGAGGUUUGGCACCUCGAUGUCGGCUCGUCGCAUCCUGGGGCUGUAGUCGGUCCCAAGGGUUGGGCUGUUCGCCCAUUAAAGCGGCACGCGAGCUGGGUUCAGAACGUCGUGAGACAGUUCGGUCCCUAUCCGUCGCGGGCGUAGGAAAUUUGAGAGGAUCUGCUCCUAGUACGAGAGGACCAGAGUGGACUUACCGCUGGUGUACCAGUUGUCUUGCCAAAGGCAUCGCUGGGUAGCUAUGUAGGGAAGGGAUAAACGCUGAAAGCAUCUAAGUGUGAAACCCACCUCAAGAUGAGAUUUCCCAUGAUUAUAUAUCAGUAAGAGCCCUGAGAGAUGAUCAGGUAGAUAGGUUAGAAGUGGAAGUGUGGCGACACAUGUAGCGGACUAAUACUAAUAGCUCGAGGACUUAUCCAA